rnacentral:rRNA from 1 species
UACGUAGGGGGCAAGCGUUGUCCGGAAUCAUUGGGCGUAAAGAGCGUGUAGGCGGCCAGAAAAGUCCGCUGUGAAAACUCGAGGCUCAACUUCGAGCUGUCGGUGGAAACUUUCUGGCUAGAGUGUGGUAGGGGAGAUCGGAAUUCCUGGUGUAGCGGUGAAAUGCGCAGAUAUCAGGAGGAACACCGGUGGCGAAGGCGGAUCUCUGGGCCAUUACUGACGCUGAGGAGCGAAAGCGUGGGGAGCAAACAGG